UUUGUCUUUUAAUUUAGGACUGGAAUGAAGGAUUAGACUGAGUAAUUUUGUCUUAUAAUAAUAUUUUAAAAUUUAUUUUUUAGUAAAAAAGCUAAAAUUUACCUAAAAGACGAGAAGACCCUAUCAAGCUUUACAAAUAAAGUUUAAUUUCAACAUAAAUAAAAAUUUGUUUUACUGGGGCAGUAGAUAAUAAAAUUUUAUUUAUCAAUUGUGAUUAAAAUUUCUUGUACUAUCAAAAAAUUUUUAAAAAUAAAUAAGUUACUGUAGGGAUAACAGCAUAAUUUUUUUAAAGAGUUCUUAUCAUCAAAAAAGUUUGUGACCUCGAUGUUGGAUUAAGAAUUCUAAUUUGUGCAAUAGCAAAAAAAGAAAGUCUGUUCGACUUGUAAUUUCUUCCA
rnacentral:rRNA from 1 species